rnacentral:rRNA from 1 species
CACGUAGGGCGCGAGCGUUGUCCGGAAUUAUUGGGCGUAAAGAGCUCGUAGGCGGCCUGUUGCGUCCGCUGUGAAAGCCCGGGGCUUAACCCCGGGUCUGCAGUGGAUACGGGCAGGCUAGAGGUAGGUAGGGGAGAAUGGAAUUCCCGGUGUAGCGGUGAAAUGCGUAGAGAUCGGGAGGAACACCGGUGGCGAAGGCGGUUCUCUGGGCCUAUACUGACGCUGAGGAGCGAAAGCGUGGGGAGCGAACAGG